CAGAUGCAAGAUUCAGAGAAAGAAAUUUGAAAGAAAGUAAAGAUCUCAGUUCUGGAUGGAUCUCAUGAACGAUUUGAAGGAAAGACAUCUCUUCAAUGGAAGUCAUGACCACACAUGCCUUGUGCGGUUUGUCUUCAUGGAUAUGCUACAGAGAGAUCUUGAUGAAUGCAAGGACAGGUGGAAUAAACAUACCAUAAGACCUGUUAAACAAUCUUGCUGUCCAUCUGGUAAACCAGAUGUGAUGUAUCAUCUACCUCACAGGUUUGGUGGAACAGACUGUGGUUUCCCAGUCUCCCAGGAGCAAUUGGGACAGUUUGUGACAGAGACUAACAACAUUCAAUGUGGAGAUGAACACCUUCAGGCACAUUUUGAGAACCUCCAGAGACAGUGUGGCCUAGCACAUCCACAGAGUUGGGAAUCAUGUGUCGAAAACUAUAUCAAACUGAAAAACAUGGCGGACUUAUAAACAAACAAGAAUCCAAAUUUGAAGGUCGCACACAAACACUAAACAGUGUCAUAACUGAACAGGUUUGACAAGUUAAAUAGUUAGCAUUUUGUUUUGUUGUUAUGCAUUUGACCUUAAUAAAGCCCAAACCCAGGGGA